rnacentral:rRNA from 1 species
GAUGAACGCUGGCGGCGUGCCUAAUACAUGCAAGUCGAGCGAACGGACGAGAAGCUUGCUUUUCUGAUGUUAGCGGCGGACGGGUGAGUAACACGUGGAUAACCUACCUAUAAGACUGGGAUAACUUCGGGAAACCGGAGCUAAUACCGGAUAAUAUUUUGAACCGCAUGGUUCAAACGUGAAAGACGGUCUUGCUGUCACUUAUAGAUGGAUCCGCGCUGCAUUAGCUAGUUGGUAAGGUAACGGCUUACCAAGGCAACGAUGCAUAGCCGACCUGAGAGGGUGAUCGGCCACACUGGAACUGAGACACGGUCCAGACUCCUACGGGAGGCAGCAGUAGGGAAUCUUCCGCAAAGGGCGAAAGCCUGACGGAGCAACGCCGCGUGAGUGAUGAAGGUCUUCGGAUCGUAAAACUCUGUUAUUAGGGAAGAACAUAUGUGUAAGUAACUGUGCACAUCUUGACGGUACCUAAUCAGAAAGCCACGGCUAACUACGUG